rnacentral:rRNA from 1 species
GACGAACGCUGGCGGCGUGCCUAAUACAUGCAAGUAGAACGCUGAAGGAGGAGCUUGCUUCUCUGGAUGAGUUGCGAACGGGUGAGUAACGCGUAGGUAACCUGCCUGGUAGCGGGGGAUAACUAUUGGAAACGAUAGCUAAUACCGCAUAAGAGUAGAUGUUGCAUGACAUUUGCUUAAAAGGUGCAAUUGCAUCACUACCAGAUGGACCUGCGUUGUAUUAGCUAGUUGGUGGGGUAACGGCUCACCAAGGCGACGAUACAUAGCCGACCUGAGAGGGUGAUCGGCCACACUGGGACUGAGACACGGCCCAGACUCCUACGGGAGGCAGCAGUAGGGAAUCUUCGGCAAUGGACGGAAGUCUGACCGAGCAACGCCGCGUGAGUGAAGAAGGGUUUCGGAUCGUAAAGCUCUGUUGUAAGAGAAGAACGAGGGUGAGAGUGGAAAGUUCACACUGUGACGGUAUCUUACCAGAAAGGGACGGCUAACUACGUG